rnacentral:tRNA from 1 species
CUUGGUUAGCUCAGUUAAUAGCGCUCUCCACUGGAAUUGGAGAGGUCUCUGGUUUGAUACCAGUCACCUAGC